UUUUCCUGCCUUUGGCUGGGGCGCUAGCUGUGCGUCGCAGAAUUCUAUCUCCAAUGGAUCGCUUCCGUACAUAAUGGGAAUUGUUUUCUGAAGAACUGUGCCUAGGAUUCUUAUUGAACAGUCCCUUCAGACCCUGGAGUUGUCUGUUCUGAAGACACAAAAGAACCAACCACAAGUUAAGCAAAUGCCAUCACGUCAACAACUUGCCUUGAAAAUGACAGCUCCAUGAAAAAUGAAUAUAAACCAAAAUCGUACAGCCAUUGAAAUAUAUUCAAACCAAGAAAGCAGCAGCUCACAGCAUGUUUGCACAACUUCAUGCACAUCUUAUCAACCUUACUUUCCAAGGACUUCAGCCUUCCAUUCUUACAUCAAGCUUUCCCAGAAGUUUCCUACCCAGAGAUGACAAAGUGGUAGGAAAAGUCUCCACAGCUCAUAGACUGCUAUGAACUUCAGGCGCCUUAAAGCAACAGAUGCAUGUUUCAAAGUGAUGAGAGGCAAGACCCCAACAAGCAGCACAAACAGAAAUCCAGGACUAAACACAGGAAGUUAUGGUAUAAAACUUCACCAGUCUUAGAAAUUAGGAUCCUUACCCCCACCUCCACGCCCUUGCUGACGGAUAUGAAAAUAAACAUUACACUCCCUAAUUCA